rnacentral:snoRNA from 1 species
CCCCUCUCAGGAUCACAUCUGGAGAGUUUCCAGUACUCUACCAGUCUCAACUACAGGAUGGAGAGUCAAGCAGAGGCAUAUCCCUUCCAUUCCUAGCUUAGGCAGUGGCUAGUGAGCGGAAGGCAAUCUGCUACAAAC